rnacentral:rRNA from 1 species
UUCCGGUUGAUCCUGCCGGACCUGACUGCUAUCGGAUUGAUACUAAGCCAUGCUAGUCUUUGUAGUAAUACAAGGCAUACGGCUCAGUAACGCGUAGUCAACCUACCCUAUGGACGGGGAUAAUCUCGGGAAACUGAGCAUAAUACCCGGCAGACCACUUCUCCUGGAAUGGUUAGUGGUUAAAAUGAUUCGUCGCCAUAGGAUGGGACUGCGGCCUAUCAGCUUGUUGGUGAGGUAAUGGCCCACCAAGGCGAUUACAGGUACGGGCUCUGAGAGGAGAAGCCCGGAGAUGGGUACUGAGACAAGGACCCAGGCCCUAUGGGGCGCAGCAGGCGAGAAAACUUUGCAAUGUGCGAAAGCACGACAAGGUUAAUCCGAGUGAUUUCUGCUAAAGGAAUCUUUUGUUAGUUCUAAAAAUACUAGUGAAUAAGGGGUGGGCAAGUUCUGGUGUCAGCCGCCGCGGUAAAACCAGCACCUCAAGUGGUCAGGAGGAUUAUUGGGCCUAAAGCAUCCGUAGCCUGUUCUAUAAGUUUGCAGUUAAAUCUAUACGCUCAACGUAUAGGCUGCCGUAAAUACUGUAGAACUAGGGAGUGGGAGAGGUAGACGGUACUCGGUAGGAAGGGGUAAAAUCCUUUGAUCUAUCGAUGACCACCUGUGGCGAAGGCGGUCUACCAGAACACGUUCGACGGUGAGGGAUGAAAGCUGGGGGAGCAAACCGGAUUAGAUACCCGGGUAGUCCCAGCUGUAAACGAUGCAGACUCGAUGAUGCAAUGGCAUAGAGCUAUUGCAGUAUCGCAGGGAAGCCGUUAAGUCUGCCGCCUGGGAAGUACGUACGCAAGUAUGAAACUUAAAGGAAUUGGCGGGGGAGCACCACAAGGGGUGAAGCCUGCGGUUCAAUUGGAUUCAACGCCGGG